rnacentral:rRNA from 1 species
UAAGCAAUCUGCCCUUCUCUUCGGAAUAAGCGUUGGAAACGACGUCUAAUGCCGAAUACGACCUCCUUUCGCAUGAUCGGAGGUGGAAAGCUCCGGCGGAGAAGGAUGAGCUCGCGGCCUAUCAGCUAGUUGGUGUGGGUAAUGGCCCACCAAGGCGACGACGGGGUAGCCGGCCUGAGAGGGCGACCGGCCACACUGGGACUGAGACACGGCCCAGACUCCGUACGGGAGCAGCAGG